CUCACCUUAGCUCAGAUGGAAGAGCGCGACCUUACGAACGUCGAGACCGCAGGUUCGACUCCUGCAGGUGGGU
rnacentral:tRNA from 1 species